CCAUAACAUCCUAUUCGAGGCUAACUUAAUGGAAUCAUAACUUGAAUAGUAGAAACAUGUCAUAAGAACGAGAAGGGGGUGCAGGAGUACACAGGAUGUUUGCUGCUAUUGCUUCUUCAGAUGCUAAUCAGACUACUAACCGUGACAGAAAAAGCAACUGGGCAAAUUAAAUAAUUGUAGAAAUUGAGGCUUCACAGUCAAAGUGGAUUGUUUAAUUUACAUAUUUUGAGUUACCAUCGUUAACUCCUAUGAAACAUGAGAUGAAAAGCAAGCUAUAUUUGGACGAAAAACACUGGCAACAUGAGGAUACAGAUGACUUUCAGAAGUGGAAAAACUGGGCUAAAGAGCUGUUUUUAACAACAGGACUGUUAUAUCAGCAUGGACUACUGGGAGGUGUUAAAGUAGUGAUGCCUAAUGUGUGUGUGUGUGUGUGUGUGUGUGUGUGUGUGUGUUAGUCACUCAGUCAUUUCCAACUCUUUGCAAUCCCAUGGACUCUAACCCACUAGGCUCCUAUGUCCAUGGAAUUCUCCAGGCAAGAAUACUGGAGUGGGUUGCCAUUUCCUACUCCAGAUCAUCUUCCGAAUGCAGGGAUCAAACCAGUGUCUCUUGCGUCUCCUGUGUUGCAGAUUCUUUACUGUCUGGGCCAUCGGGGAAGCCCAGAUGACUAAUGCAGUGAUGGUAA
ensembl:lncRNA